rnacentral:misc_RNA from 1 species
ACCAAUUUAAGAAUAUAUAUUAUACACCAAUUAACAUAAAAACAUACUAACUAGCUGUUGUAGACAUCCAGAAACAUGCCAAGAGCAAAAGUGAGUGAAAACUAUAACAGAUUAAGGGAUCUGAUAAAACUAAAACAACAACCCCAACUUAGCAAUCCAAAAAAAGAACAUCACACAUGGCCACUUUAAAAUCCCUCAUUUAUCUUCAAUAUCCCAAACCAAAAUCAAACACCCAUUAAAAAAAA